GGCGAACGCUGGCGGCGUGCUUAACACAUGCAAGUCGAACGGAAAGGCCCUGCUUUUGUGGGGUGCUCGAGUGGCGAACGGGUGAGUAACACGUGAGUAACCUGCCCUUGACUUUGGGAUAACUUCAGGAAACUGGGGCUAAUACCGGAUAGGAGCUCCUGCUGCAUGGUGGGGGUUGGAAAGUUUCGGCGGUUGGGGAUGGACUCGCGGCUUAUCAGCUUGUUGGUGGGGUAGUGGCUUACCAAGGCUUUGACGGGUAGCCGGCCUGAGAGGGUGACCGGCCACAUUGGGAAUGAGAUACGGCCCAGACGCCUACGGGAGGCAGCAGUGGGGAAUAUUGCACAAUGGGCGGAAGCCUGAUGCAGCAACGCCGCGUGCGGGAUGACGGCCUUCGGGUUGUAAACCGCUUUCGCCUGUGACGAAGCGUGAGUGACGGUAAUGGGUAAAGAAGCACCGGCUAACUACG
rnacentral:rRNA from 1 species